rnacentral:rRNA from 1 species
GAUGAACGCUGGCGGCGUGCUUAACACAUGCAAGUCGAACGGGAUCCAUCAAGCUUGCUUGGUGGUGAGAGUGGCGAACGGGUGAGUAAUGCGUGACCGACCUGCCCCAUACACCGGAAUAGCUCCUGGAAACGGGUGGUAAUGCCGGAUGCUCCAGUUGAUCGCAUGGUCUUCUGGGAAAGCUUUCGCGGUAUGGGAUGGGGUCGCGUCCUAUCAGCUUGACGGCGGGGUAACGGCCCACCGUGGCUUCGACGGGUAGCCGGCCUGAGAGGGCGACCGGCCACAUUGGGACUGAGAUACGGCCCAGACUCCUACGGGAGGCAGCAGUGGGGAAUAUUGCACAAUGGGCGCAAGCCUGAUGCAGCGACGCCGCGUGAGGGAUGGAGGCCUUCGGGUUGUAAACCUCUUUUAUCGGGGAGCAAGCGAGAGUGAGUUACCC